CGCUCCUUGAAAAGUAAAAAUACUUACGUAUAAGGAGUCCUGCCUGCCCGGUGACGUAGUUAAACGGCCGCGGUAUUUUGACCGUGCGAAGGUAGCAUAAUCAUUUGCCCUUUAAAUGGGGGCUGGUAUGAAUGGCAAGACGGAAAUUAAGCUGUCUCUCUCUUGUGCCUCGAAUUUAAUUUUCUUGUGAAGAAGCAGGAAUACAGCCACGGGACGAGAAGACCCUAUCGAGCUUUAGCUGUUCCCGCAUAAACAUGUGAAUUAAGACAGGUUAUUCCAUUGCUAAUUAACUCGUACUUGUAGCGUGUUAGCGAUUUACUGUGGGGUGGUCGGUGUUAUAUGUGGGCCGUUUAGGUUGGGGCAACUGCGGGGAACAGACAUCCCCCGUUAAGUUAACUGUGAAAAAUCAUGGUUUUCUGGUGCAAGUUUUGUUUGAAUUGAUCCGCCUUUUAGGCGAGCAAAAGAACAAGUUACCGUAGGGAUAACAGCGUAAUCUCCUUAGAGAGUUCAUAUUGAUGAGGGGGUUUGCGACCUCGAUGUUGGAUCGGGAUUUCCUGGGGGUGCAGCAGCUCCCAAAGGUUGGUCUGUUCGACCAUUAAAAUCCU
rnacentral:rRNA from 1 species